UGAGGAAUAUUGGUCAAUGGGCGGGAGCCUGAACCAGCCAAGUCGCGUGAGGGACGACGGUCCUAUGGAUUGUAAACCUCUUUUGUCGGGGAACAAAGGCGCCCACGGGUGGGCGGAUGAGUGUACCCGAAGAAAAAGCAUCGGCUAACUCCGUGCCAGCAGCCGCGGUAAUACGGAGGAUGCGAGCGUUAUCCGGAUUUAUUGGGUUUAAAGGGUGCGUAGGCGGACAGUCAAGUCAGCGGUAAAAAUGCGGUGCUCAACGCCGUACAGCCGUUGAAACUGGCAGUCUUGAGUGGGCGAGAAGUAUGCGGAAUGCGUGGUGUAGCGGUGAAAUGCAUAGAUAUCACGCAGAACUCCGAUUGCGAAGGCAGCAUACCGGCGCCCGACUGACGCUGAGGCACGAAAGCGUGGGUAUCGAACA
rnacentral:rRNA from 1 species